ensembl:snoRNA SNORD30 Small nucleolar RNA SNORD30
GACAAUGAUGAGAUAAUAUUGGAAUCUCGUUCGUCUGAACACCUGUUGAGAAAUGGAACAUCUGACAUCA